GACGAACGCUGGCGGCGCGCCUAACACAUGCAAGUCGAACGAGCGAGAGAGAGCUUGCUUUCUCAAGCGAGUGGCGAACGGGUGAGUAACGCGUGAGGAGCCUGCCUCAAAGAGGGGGACAACAGUUGGAAACGACUGCUAAUACCGCAUAAGCCCACAGGUCGGCAUCGACCAGAGGGAAAAGGAGCAAUCCGCUUUGAGAUGGCCUCGCGUCCGAUUAGCUAGUUGGUGAGGUAACGGCCCACCAAGGCAACGAUCGGUAGCCGGACUGAGAGGUUGAACGGCCACAUUGGGACUGAGACACGGCCCAGACUCCUACGGGAGGCAGCAGUGGGGAAUAUUGCACAAUGGGGGAAACCCUGAUGCAGCGACGCCGCGUGGAGGAAGAAGGUCUUCGGAUUGUAAACUCCUGUUGUUGAGGAAGAUAAUGACGGUACUCAACAAGGAAGUGACGGCUAACUACGUG
rnacentral:rRNA from 1 species